GUAGGGAAUAUUGGGCAAUGGUCGGAAGACUGACCCAGCCAUGCCGCGUGCAGGAAGACGGCCCUCUGGGUUGUAAACUGCUUUUAUCUGGGAAGAAAAAGGCCAUGCGUGGCAAAUUGCCGGUACCAGAUGAAUAAGCACCGGCUAACUCCGUGCCAGCAGCCGCGGUAAUACGGAGGGUGCGAGCGUUGUCCGGAUUUAUUGGGUUUAAAGGGUGCGUAGGCGGCUGAUUAAGUCAGCGGUGAAAGACUUCGGCUUAACCGGAGCAGUGCCGUUGAUACAGGUUGGCUUGAGUGUCGGAGGGGUACAUGGAAUUGAUGGUGUAGCGGUGAAAUGCAUAGAUACCAUCAGGAACACCGAUAGCGAAGGCAUUGUACUGGCCGACAACUGACGCUGAUGCACGAAAGUGUGGGGAUCGAACAGGAUUAGAAACCCCGGUAGUCC
rnacentral:rRNA from 1 species